rnacentral:rRNA from 1 species
GAUGAACGCUGGCGGCGUGCCUAAUACAUGCAAGUAGAACGCUGAAGGAGGAGCUUUCUCUUCUGGAUGAGUUGCUAACGGGUGAGUAACGCGUAGGUAACCUGCCUGGUAGCGGGUGAUAACUAUUGGAAACGAUAGCUAAUACCGCAUGACAACAGUUAUUGCAUGAUAACUGUUUAAAAGGGGCAACUGCUCCACUACCAGAUGGACCUGCGUUGUAUUAGCUCGUUGGUGAGGUAACGGCUCACCAAGGCGACGAUACAUAGCCGACCUGAGAGGGUGAUCGGCCACAAUGGGAGUGAGAAAAGGCGCAGAAGCCUACGGGAGGAAGCAGUAGGGAAUCUUAGGGCAUGGAGGGAAGUAUGACCGAGCAACGCCGCGGGAGUGAAGAAGGGUGUCGGAUCGUAAAGAUCUGUUGUAAGAGGAGAACGAGUGUGAGAGUGGAGAGUUCACACUGUGACGGUAUCUUAUCAGAAAGGGACGGCUAACUACGUG